rnacentral:rRNA from 1 species
GAUGAACGCUGGCGGCGUGCCUAAUACAUGCAAGUCGAGCGAACGGACGAGAAGCUUGCUUCUCUGAUGUUAGCGGCGGACGGGUGAGUAACACGUGGAUAACCUACCUAUAAGACUGGGAUAACUUCGGGAAACCGGAGCUAAUACCGGAUAAUAUUUUGAACCGCAUGGUUCAAAAGUGAAAGACGGUCUUGCUGUCACUUAUAGAUGGAUCCGCGCUGCAUUAGCUAGUCGGUAAGGUAACGGCUUACCAAGGCAACGAUGCAUAGCCGACCUGAGAGGGUGAUAGGCCACACUGGAACUGAGACACGGUCCAGACUCCUACGGGAGGCAGCAGUAGGGAAUCUUCCGCAAUGGGCGAAAGCAUGACGGAGCAACGCCGCGUGAGUGAUGAAGGUCUUCGGAUCGUAAAACUCUGUUAUUAGGGAAGAACAUAUGUGUAAGUAACUGUGCACAUCUUGACGGUACCUAAUCAGAAAGCCACGGCUAACUACGUG